CCUACGGGGGGCAGCAGUGAGGAAUAUUGGUCAAUGGGCGCGAGCCUGCACCAGCCAAGUAGCGUGAAGGAUGACUGCCCUACGGGUUGUAACCUUCUUUUAUAAAGGAAUAAAGUGAGGCACGUGUGCCUUUUUGUAUGUACUUUAUGAAUAAGGAUCGGGUAACUCCGUGCCAGAAGCCGCGGUAAAACGGAGGAUCAGAGCGUUAUCCGGAUUUAUUGGGUUUAAAGGGAGCGUAGUUGGGUUGUUAAGUCAGUUGUGAAAGUGUGCGGCUCAACCGUAAAAUUUCAAUUGCUUCUGGCAGUCUUGAGUACAGUUGAGGUAGGCGGAAUUCGUGGUGUAGCGGUGAAAUGCUUAGAUAUCACGAAGAACUCCGAUUGCGAAGGCAGCUUACUAAACUGCCACUGACAUUGAUGCUCGAAAGUGUGGGUAUCAAACAGGAUUAGAUACCCCAGUAGUC
rnacentral:rRNA from 1 species